rnacentral:lncRNA from 1 species
AAUAAUCUCCACCCCCUGCCGAGGCUUCAACAUUAUAUCUAUCCCUCCUUGCUCUAGCGGGCAGCAAGAAGCACAGCACCGCCAGUUACCACGCAGACAUCCUGGGGAACUGAGCCUGCUCCAGGUUCCUGACUUGAGGUCCUGUCCAGGCCUCUCUCCAUGAUGGACCAUGAUGGGGAUUCGUAAGCAGAAAUAAACCCUCCCCACUGCUGCUUUUGGUCAGUAUUUGUAUCACAGCGAGAGAAAGCAAACUCGGACAGAUAUUCAUCAGCUGUACAAAGAGAAAAGGCAUAAACUGCUGGAAGCUGUGUCCUUGGGUCAUGGGCACUACUUCCCACAACACCCACUGGCUUUGCAUGGAGACUCUGGACCUUCAGAGCGACACCCAGUUUUGCCACAUGGAUACAGGACUUGUGAUAAACUAGGUAGUAGGCCUGGAUCUGUUGCUUUCCCCCUUGCUGUGAUGAGGAAAUCCCUGAGAAAGAUAACUUAAGGAAGGAGGGGUUUGCUCUAGCAGCUGGAGUGAGGGGUGGCAGGCCACAUGACGUGGCAUCCACUAUCAGGAUGCAGAGAGAGAUGAAUGUGUAUAUUCACCUUCCCUUUC